UACAGAGGUCUCGAGCGUUAGGCGGAAUCACUGGGCUUAAAGCGUGUGUAGGCGGAUCGGUAAGUACCUUGUGAAAUCCCACAGCUUAACUGUGGAACUGCUUGGUAUACUGCCAGUCUCGAGCCAGCUAGGGGCGACCGGAACAAAUGGUGGAGCGGUGAAAUGCGUAGAUAUCAUUUGGAACGCCAAUGGUGAAAACAGGUCGCUGGGGCUGUGCUGACGCUGAGACACGAAAGCCAGGGGAGCGAACGGG
rnacentral:rRNA from 1 species